GAUGAAGAACGCAGCGAAAUGCGAUAAGUAGUGUGAAUUGCAGAAUUCAGUGAAUCAUCGAAUCUUUGAACGCACAUUGCGCCCUUUGGUAUUCCAAAGGGCAUGCCUGUUCGAGCGUCAUUUGUACCCUCAAGCUUUGCUUGGUGUUGGGCGUCUUGUCUCUAGCUUUGCUGGAGACUCGCCUUAAAGUAAUUGGCAGCCGGCCUACUGGUUUCGGAGCGCAGCACAAGUCGCACUCUCUAUCAGCAAAGGUCUAGCAUCCAUUAAGCCUUUUUUUCAACUUUUGACCUCGGAUCAGGUAGGGAUACCCGCUGAACUUAAGCAUAUCAAUAAGCUGAGGA
rnacentral:misc_RNA from 1 species